rfam:Medicago truncatula strain A17 chromosome 2, whole genome shotgun sequence.
GUGACAUUGGCCAAUCACAAUGCCACAAUGCUUGUGAAAGAGAGAGAAACACAAACAUUGUGGCAUUGUGAUUGGCCAAUGUCAC